AUGCUCACUUCAGCAGCACAUGUGCUAAAAUUGGAAUGACACAGGAAGAUUAACAUGUUCGCUGUGCAAGGAUGACAAGCAUUGCCUCUUCGUGUAUUCCACUCUAUU